rnacentral:rRNA from 1 species
UACGUAGGGGGCAAGCGUUGUCCGGAAUCAUUGGGCGUAAAGCGCGUGUAGGCGGUCCGGUAAGUCCGCUGUGAAAGUCGGGGGCUCAACCCUCGGAUGCCGGUGGAUACUGUCGGGCUUGAGUACGGAAGAGGCGAGUGGAAUUCCUGGUGUAGCGGUGAAAUGCGCAGAUAUCAGGAGGAACACCAAUUGCGAAGGCAGCUCGCUGGGACGUUAACUGACGCUGAGACGCGAAAGCGUGGGGAGCAAACAGG